rnacentral:tRNA from 1 species
CCUCCUUUCUAAGGAAACAAUUAUCAUCUUCAGUUUUGAGAGACUUAAGAAAGUUUUUCAUUAUAACUAACUUACUUGCAAAUUGUAUUUACAAUAUUUUAAUCUUUUUAAUAUUAAGGGCCUAUAGAUCAGUUGGUUAUAGAGUACACACCUAAUAAUUGUGAGGUCGGUGGUUCAAGUUACACAUUUAGGCCCACCAUAACCACAAAUAGGCAAAAUAUUAAAAAAGCUCUUUGAAAAGUAGAUAAACGAAGGUUAAAAAAUCAAAGGAA